CACGGACAUCAGCGAUUCAUUCUGCGAGCCCUGACCGACGGCCAGAUAGGCAUUCAUGCCCAGCUCUUUCAUCUGCUCUUCGCCAAUCACGCGCGUGAUAGUGUUCUGGCUGUAAGUGUCGGCCAACUGACGUGCUUGAGACGCCAGAUACGCGGCAUUGCAGAUAUUCGGUGGCAUGUUGCCGAGAUCUUUUGC
rnacentral:antisense_RNA from 1 species